AGCAGCAUGGCGCAGCUGGAAGCGCGCGGGGCCCAUAUCUCGCUGUAUGAAACCCCGAGGUCACUUGAUCGAAACAAGUUGCUGCUA